ACCUUUUUUAUCCGAUGCUUACCUGCUUAGUAAUACCGUGCAAAUGCACGGUACAAAUUAGUCGGGCUUCGGUUGGAAAGAGCAGUCUUCCUCACCAUCUCUUCCUCUACAGGCGCUCUCCAGUGCUCUCCAGGUGCUCUUUCUUCCUCUCCAGGCACUCUUUCUUCCUCUCAUCCCAGACAUGGAUCAAAGAAAGAUUGUGGCAUGCUUCAUUUCUUCUUUGGAUGGUGCAAUGAAAAAAGGAGUGGAUCCAAAACCUGAGAUUGUUUCAGAAUUGUCAAAGAUGGAUUUGUCUAUUGAGGAUCAAAUCAAGGCACUAAAUAUCCUUUUUGAAAAGCCACAGAAUGAGAGGACAUUCUCGUCUUUGGAUGGUGCAAUGAAAAAAGCCUUUGUACUCAUGUUACUUGGACAAAGUAACCCCAAUUGUAUAUUUUAUGAACUUGGAUAUGUGGUUGGAUUAUAUAUCGUAACGAUUGUAGUUGUUUUUUGUGAA